CUCAAAGGCUAGUUUUCUCUAGCUUGUUCCAACACUGCUUUUCAUCUGUUUCUUUUGUUGCAGCUGUGGUUUUUAGCAGUUCAGGGCUUUCUGGAUUCUCCCUGGGCUUAUGAGAAAUUAACGCUUGCCUGCAUGAAGCUUUAACUCUGCAUUGGAGUACAGAAGACAGCACCCUGUCAGCAUCCUGUAACGAAUGGAAGCGUAAAAGGCGGUCGAGCCCUGAAAAAAGUCCCUUAGUUCCAAUUCAUUUCUCUGUCACUACAUUUAGCAAUGGGAUAUGAAGAAAAGAAGACUCUAGCCUCAGAGAGUAACAUACCUCUCCAUUGGAAGAACACCACUAAAUCCAUGUAAGCUAACACAUUGCUGCAGAUGAACUGAAGAGACAGGAAUUUGAGGCAGAGGGUUUUGGCAUGUGGUGGAAGUGAAGGAGUCAGAGGAGGCAACAAGCGUAACCACUCUGAGGAAGAAGUGCACAAUAAGACUAGACCAUAUUGAUCUGGGAAUGCUUUGGGUCUUUUUUAUGUCACUUACCAUGUGGCUUUCCACAGCGUGCAGCUUUGCAGAGAGUAAAAGAAAAGCCAUCGUGAAUAAAAACAGUCUCUGCUCCAUUAGACACAAGUGUUGAUAAGAAAACUAAAUGUCUGGAGGUCCUCACUAAGCUAAGCUAGAACACCACCUUUGAAUUCUUUUUUCAAUGUGUGGUUCAGCAAAUUGGAGAUAUGCACAAUAAAUAAAUAAAUAAGUAAAUAGAUCUGUUUCCUCACAUAUUUCAUCAACAGCAAAAGAACAGUAGAAUAAAAUCUCUCUCUCUCUCCCUGAUAAAUACCAUCCCCUAAAGGCAAAAAUAUCAUCAGCAGUUCUGGCCACUAAGUCCCAAAUCAAUAAUAACUGGAAGUUAAAUUACUGAGCAGUUGUCUGAUUCCAUUGGAAAUAAUGUUGAUGGCCUCCAAUUCACUCCGGCAUCUCUGAACUGGUACAUGUUUGAGAACCAGGCUUCUGCAUUUGGAUAUUGCAUAUAGUACAAGAAGGAAGACAAUUGGAAAGUACUUUCUAUUUUGUAACAGGGUCUAAUUUCACAUCUGCCCUUCCAGCAAAACAUAUGAGCAUUUCCACACGGAGCCUUCUGAGGAUACUCUUGUUUCUGUCAUUGCACUGUGCCCCUGCGACAAAUCGCAGUAGCCGUCAUGGUAAUGGAAAGCCCAAUAACGUCAAAAACUUCCUGGUGUAUAUGCAAUGGGAAGUCAUUCAGCAGUAUGUAAAUAAUCCUUGUUAACCACACUGUUACAGAAGAUUACUUCUCCUUUCCCCUCAAGCAGGGUGGCUAAUAUUUUGAUCCACACUACCAAAGACCACAGUAAGGUGCCACAGGAAAGAGAAUUCCUCUCCUCCCAACUCUCUUAUUUUGUGUGAUGACUGCAUUUGUAAGCUGCAGAGUAGAACAUAGUUAAAAUUAUAGCUAAUUUCACUUUGUGAGUUUGCAAGUGACAACACAGGGGUGCCUGUGAGAACCACAGAUUCCAGGAUCUCUGGUUUGUAUUAAUGUCCUAGUAAAAAAAAUGUGCUGUGUUUUUCCAGAGUACUGUUUUAGUGAAAUCUGAAGACUCCUACGUAUCUUUGCUUUACAUAUAUGUAUAUAUACUAUUUAUAGUGAUGUUACAGCUGACCAUCAUUCUUGACUUAAAAUACUUGUCAGAAAAAUGUUAGGUUGUGUUUUUAUUUUUUUUUUCACUACCAUAGAGAAAGGAAAAAUAGGUCACAGCAUGUCAUCCCUUCAAGGGGUACCUGGACAAAUUUCUUGCCAUUUAUUCUGUUGUACUUUCGUUCUGUGCAUCUGUAUUGGGUGAGAAGGACCAAAGAGAGAAGGUGCUGAAGACGCAGUGACGGAGUCUGAAGCCCUGAGGAAAGCACAAAGAGAAGUAGAGACAGAGACAUGCUUGAAGCUGUAAACAAAUGAAGUCCUUUGUCAUGAUUCUUGUUGCACUCAGGAAAACAGGACUUUCUGGUUAACAAUGUGAAGUAUAUUGAAGAAAUAGCUGAAGGCUACAUAAAGAGCAGGAGAAUAAACCUGCAGCCAGUGAUAAAAUUGUUGGGUGUCAGCUGCCACCAAGAUGCCAACUACACGUCGG